UACGUAGGGGGCAAGCGUUGUCCGGAUUUAUUGGGCGUAAAGAGCGUGUAGGCGGCCAGGUAGGUCUGCUGUGAAAGCUCGAGGCUUAACCUCGAGCUGUCGGCGGAAACCAUCUGGCUAGAGUCGGGAAGAGGAGAAUGGAAUUCCCGGUGUAGCGGUGAAAUGCGCAGAUAUCGGGAAGAACACCCGUGGCGAAGGCGGUUCUCUGGACCUUUUCUGACGCUGAGGCGCGAAAGCUAGGGGAGCAAACGGG
rnacentral:rRNA from 1 species